UACGUAGGGUGCGAGCGUUAAUCGGAAUUACUGGGCGCAAAGCGUGCGCAGGCGGUUUUGUAAGCCAGAUGUGAAAGCCCCGGGCUCAACCUGGGAAUGGCAUUUGGGACUGCAAGGCUUGAGUGCGGCAGAGGAGACUGGAAUUCCUGGUGUAGCAGUGAAAUGCGUAGAUAUCAGGAGGAAUACCGAUGGCGAAGGCAGGUCUCUGGGCUGACACUGACGCUCAUGCACGAAAGCGUGGGGAGCAAACAGG
rnacentral:rRNA from 1 species